rnacentral:rRNA from 1 species
CUAGGAAUAUUGGGCAAUGGGCGAAAGCCUGACCCAGCAACACCGCGUGAAGGACGAAGGCCUUCGGGUUGUAAACUUCUUUUCGAGGGAAAGAGAAAGGACGGUACCCUCGGAAUAAGGCCCGGCUAACUACGUGCCAGCAGCCGCGGUAAUACGUAGGGGCCAAGCGUUAUCCGGAUUUACUGGGCGUAAAGCGCAUGUAGGCGGUCGAUCAAGUCGGAUGUGAAAGCUCCUGGCUUAACUGGGAGAGGUCAUUCGAAACUAGUCGGCUGGAGGGUGGUAGAGGAGAGCGGAAUUCCAGGUGUAGCGGUGAAAUGCGUAGAUAUCUGGAGGAACACCAGUGGCGAAAGCGGCUCUCUGGACCAUUCCUGACGCUGAGAUGCGAAAGCCAGGGGAGAGAACGGG